rnacentral:rRNA from 1 species
UACGUAGGGGGCAAGCGUUGUCCGGAAUCAUUGGGCGUAAAGAGCGUGUAGGCGGCCCGAUAAGUCCGCUGUGAAAGUCCAGGGCUCAACCUUGGAAUGCGGGUGGAUACUGCCGGGCUAGAGUCCGGAAGAGGCGAGUGGAAUUCCUGGUGUAGCGGUGGAAUGCGCAGAUAUCAGGAGGAACACCAAUAGCGAAGGCAGCUCGCUGGGACGGUACUGACGCUAAGGCGCGAAAGCGUGGGGAGCGAACAGG